UGAUCCCAACCCGACACAAUCAAUCCAUCAAAGAAAAAGAAAAAAAAAGCCAAGGAUUCUCCCCAGUCACAGCGCAAAAAAAAAAGAUCACAUAGCAAGGAUGAUUCAUGUGUCGGAUUCAUACCGCGUGUUGAGGCCGCAUGGCCAUGGUCCGAGCUACCGGCAGGACAAAUGGAUUAUGCCUUACCUAGAUGCCACCGUAUUUGGAUCAGCGACGUUAAUUUGUGUGUUUGAGUUAAGGGCCGACUUAAUAUUAACAUUGGUUGAGCCGUGGCGCCCAGAGACGCACACAUUUCAUUUUCCAUGUGGGAAAUGAAUCAUCACAAUGAAGGGUGACGCAUUGCAAUUAAAGCUCCCCAUGGAUGCAGUAACCAGUUCAAGAAAAGUAGAAGAACCUGCGGCGCUCUACUAUGACUUGCUUAGACACUCUCCCUGUGAUGCUGGAGCUAAAUUUACAGAUUUAAAAUUUUUGUGGUUGAAGGUAAAUUUCAAAACAUUGUUGAGUAAUGCGGCUGAGAGGUAGAAGAUGUGCGUUGCACGAGCAUAUAUACUGCAGCUUAUAGGGGGUACUUAUCCCAGACGCUAAUAAUAAAAAAUUCCACUUGAUGUACCUACCACUACUACCUAAUUUGCAAGUUGUCUAUUCCUACAGUUGGGGAUUAGCAGUACUAGCUACGUUGUAUCAUGAGUUUUUUUAAGCAACAAAGCACAAAACACGAUAUAUAAGCAGGUGCCUGGUACUGCUACAAUCUUGUGCGCUAUACAAGAUGUCAUUUCUGUCAUCAGUAGGCCACCAAGCACAUGUGUUCCCACUUCUGAAUAGGUAAAACAAAAUUGAAACUUGGAUCAAGAUUUUUUUUAUGAAAGUAUGUUCUGAGGAGUUUGCUUUA